rnacentral:lncRNA from 1 species
AUAAUAAUAAGAGUAUUUGCUGGCUGUCGUCCGUAAUUUUUUUCCUUUAUAUUAGAAAGAUUUUCCACGUUAAAUCUUGUGUCUCCGUUGUGAUUGAUAUUGUGUUCUUUGUCAUUUAUUCGCUGUUAUUUACAACACAAACAACUCUAGACUGCUCUGGUCCGACCAUCAUAGCUUUAACAAGCUUCCUUGCUCAUGCUUACAAUAACGAAGCUGUAUGAUCGGGAAAAAAAAAGUAGGUGGAGCCGAUAUGCACUUGCGCGUCUGUGCAUACAGACUCCGAUUGCUACCACACGUGGACAUAAAAAAAAUAAAAAAAAUCGGACGAACACCAUUAGUCGAGCCACCGGGAUCGCUGCAGCCGAGAGCUUUAUAUGCGUUCGCGUGGGGGUGUGGGAGCCAGCAAGGAGCGUUCGUCAGUUCGUGGGAUUUCCAGCAAUUCCACGCGCACGCGGCACAAAAACUACAGCCCUAUGGCAUUGUUUAGAUGUAAAAAGUUUUUGGAUUUCGCUACUGUAGCACUUUCGUUUGUUUAUGACAAAUAUUGUCCAAUCAUAGACUAAUUAGUGUCAAAAUAUGGGUUUUCGUUACGCUUUCUAAUAAAGCUGGGUGGAAGCCUUUGGUCUAAAAAUUAGUGUCAAAAGAUUCGUCUCG